CAGUUCCAAAUUUUGUGUGAUAAGUUCUUAUGUCCUAUAGCAUGUUUUAAGUAGACAGAUUUUCAUUUUAUCAAAUCCUUCUGUCCGAACGCUGAAAAAACACUGUUUCCAUGGUAACCAUGGUAAAACAACAAAUUUUGAAAAACUGUCUACUUAAUACAUAAAGUAUCAUGAGCUGCACUUACAGUCCAAAAAUGGGGCGAAUUCAUCAAAUUCUCUUCCCUCUAGGCUUUCCACAAAACGGUGGAAGCAAAACUUGUUCGUUUUGAGAAAAUCAAGGUUAAACUCACGAAAUGUGAAAGUUUUUAUGCAUAUGAUAUACCAUUCAAGUAACACAACUGAAGAGUUUUCAAACAACAAUACGAAGAUUAACUAUACUCUGCACUAACAAAAUUCCACAAUAGAGCAUAGAACAAUAACCAAGGUUAGACACGGCUGGUGACGCUUUUGAUCGCCAACGUUCCAACAUAUUUUCUACAAACAUUGUUUGUG